AGCAUGUGGUUUAAUUCGAUGAUACGCGAGGAACCUUACCAGGGCUGACAUACACUGGAAUGGGCGUGAAAGCGUCCAGCCCCUCGGGGCCGGUGUACAGGUGCUGCAUGGCUGUCGUCAGCUCGUGCUGUGAAGUGUUGGUUAAGUCCCGCAACGAGCGCAACCCCUGCUAUCUGUUGCCAGCAAGUAAUGUUGGGGACUCAGAUGGAACUGCCGGUGACAAACCGGAGGAAGGUGGGGACGACGUCAAGUCAUCAUGGCCCUUAUGUCCUGGGCUACACACGUGCUACAAUGGCCGGUACAGAGCGCAGCGAAGCCGCGAGGCAAAGCGAAUCGCAAAAAGCCGGUCUCAGUACGGAUUGGAGUCUGAAACUCGACUCCAUGAAGUUGGAAUCGCUAGUAAUCGCGCAUCAGCAUGGCGCGGUGAAUACGUUCCCGGGCCUU
rnacentral:rRNA from 1 species